rnacentral:rRNA from 1 species
UACGUAGGGUGCAAGCGUUGUCCGGAAUUAUUGGGCGUAAAGAGCUCGUAGGCGGUUUGUUGCGUCGGCUGUGAAAUCCCGAGGCUCAACCUCGGGUCUGCAGUCGAUACGAGCAAACUAGAGUGUUGCAGGGGAGACUGGAAUUCCUGGUGUAGCGGUGAAAUGCGCAGAUAUCAGGAGGAACACCGGUGGCGAAGGCGGGUCUCUGGGCAACAACUGACGCUGGAGGAGCGAAAGCGUGGGGAGCGAA